ACUCACAGUCAUUAAUAAUCGAGUGGAAACGGAUUUAUAUAGGAAGGAGACUGCCACCAAUAACUUACUACACUUCUCCUCAUUUCACCCAUUUCAUACAAGACGCGGAAUACCAACUGGUCAAAUCUCAAGAGUGCGCAGAAAUUGUAGCAGUGAUCAACAAUUCAAAGUACAGGCACGUGACUUGACCCAGAGAUUUAAUGAUCGGUGUUACCCUAAGAAGAUCAUCUUGGCAGCUUUUCAGCGGGCCAAACAGGCUGACGAGAAAAAACUACUAUUACCAACGAAGAGAUCACAAGAUGAUAUAGUACAUUUUAUAUCUACUUACCACAAUCAGUGGAACUGAGUGAGCAGUCUAUUGGAGCAGCAUUGGAGUAUUUUGCAAUACGAUAAUCACAUCAAGGACAUGAUACCACAAAAAAACGGUUUUGGUCUCAAAGAAUGCACCUAACUUGAAGGAGGUCUUGACUCAGAGUCAUUUUUAACGACUCCCAGCUAAACAGACGGUUGGGAUUAGAUUACAAGGAUCCUUCCCUUGUGGGGAUUGUAGUGUCUGCCAAUUCAUGAAGCCCACGCAUAUGUUUAAAAAUCCAAGAGAUGGGAAAGACUAUUGUAUUGGUUCCUAUAUGAGUUGCAAAACCAUGAACGUAAUUUAUGACCUGAUUUGCCUCUGCCAAUCUGUAUAUGUUGGACAAAUGGGACAACAACUCCGGAAGAGAAUUCAGAAACAUUUGUCCAACACAGCAUUGGCAACACGUGAUGCUAAACAUCAGAAGAAACUUAAUCCUGUAGCUCUUCAUUUUUUGAACUACCAUGCUGGGCUUGCUGCAGGCCUGACUGUUGUGGACCUGGAAUGAGUACAGGGUGAUAACAGAGGUGGGUCUCUGACCAAAAGACUCUUACAUAUGGAGUCCAAAUGGAUUUACAACCUGGACACCACCAGACCAUCUGGUCUCAAUGAGGAACUUUUGUUCACCGGAUUUUUCGUUUACAGGAUAGCUCCUUUGUACCAUUUAUCGGAAUGGGAAUUGUCUGCUAUUAUGAUUUCCUUGAACUGUCUAUUAUACUAUCUCCAAUUGGAGGUCGACCCACUGGCUCUCCUUGGAUGACUGAUAGAUAAGCAGAAUGGGUUCUUUUGGAUCCACUUCAGAUGCCAUUCAACAUAUUGAGGAUUGGACUUUGAUCAUCUCUUUGUGACCCUUUGAUUCUUCGUUAUUGCCACCAUGUAUUCUUUUGCCCAGAAGCCCAUGUGACACUCAUUGACUAAUUAGUUCAUAUGAUAUCUGGACUUUGGUGAUAUCUUUUGCCCAAAUAUUGACUCUCUUGAAACUAUGUUACCCCUUAUGGAGUGGGACUCACUAUCAUUAUUAAUGUAUUUUUUUAUACCUGUCUAUGAUUUAAUACUUA